UGUCCGCCGACGUGGGGGCGCGCGCCCGGCGCCGGGAGGCGCGCGACACCCGAGGCCCCGGGCUCCAGGCGGCGCGCGUGCGGUCCUAUGUUGGCCAGUGCGCCAGAUACAGAGACAUUUUCUACAAACUGGAUGGGUUAGGAGGUGACCGGGGCCACUCUGGGAAUCGUUAGCGUGGGCAGCAGUGGCUGUAAGAUGACUCAGAGAGCCAGAGCGUUCGACACGAGGAUUCUCUACCACAACAGGAGAUGCAGGUAAACAUUCAGAAAGUGGACCUGAAACUAACAUACCAUCCCUGCCUUCCGUAUGGCUUGGAUAUAGGAUCCCCCCAUAAGUCACAAGACUCCCCUGCUCUUUCUCUCCAAAAAAUAAGAAUGAUGGUCAAGAAAGCGGCUGUGCUUACCUGGGAAUGUGGCUGAGACCUUUUUUUUUUAAUUGAAAACAUUCAUCAGAAAAGAGGCUUUAAUUUCUGAAGUGAAAGGGAGAAGCUGUCCAUAGCACUGGGCAACUUGCCUGAUCCCUUUAAUACGGAAGGUCGUGUUGGCCCUCCGUGACGUGCGCGGGCUCCUUUCUCGGUCGAUGCCCGGGCUUACGAUCGCCUCCACACAGCGGCAGACCUGCUUGUUCUCUCUCUCUUCUUCAAUGCCGCUGGCUCCGGCCCUGUCCUUUGUCCUUUCUCACCUGAAAUACAUAUUCUAUGGGGCUUCUCAUUGCUGCUCUUUAACCUCCGGCCCCCCUUGCAAACCAGCCAGAUGAUGGACGUUGUUUACAACCUUUCAGUGGCCUCCCACUGCCUGUGGACCACAUUCCCAGCUGGUGAGAAAGUCGUGGAGGCCUGGUGAGCUGGGAGAUGGUGUGUCCAGCCAGCGUUUGCACCACAGACAGCGAAGAGACUUCGGGGCGAUGAACACAGGCACAGAGAGAGACGCCAGGGAUCUUAUGUGAUGGAGUGUGUGAUGUGGGCACGGUAUCCAUCCUUCCUCGGGGCUGUCCCUUGACCCAAACACAUUAGGGGAGAAUUUGGGUAAUUUGGAAUUCUGUGUUUGUAGCGCCGUGGCAGCUGCCUGGGAACCUAUAACCUCUGGGCCUUGGAAUCCCUCUGAACAGCCAGCUGUUUGGGGACCAGAGCAGGGUUAGGACUGAACCAAAGCAAAACACAAAGGUUCCCUCUAUCAAACCCUGGGGGCCUUGCUCCCUGUGUGAGAAGCAGCAUUCUCAGGCACCCUCCGGUUCUGUUGGUAUGUUUUCUGGGAAACCCAGAUGCGUUUGCCCACAUGGGGGUGCUCUGUGGUCCCAGAAGCAGGUGCUUGUGCUAUAACUUGGACUGGGAACUACUUCCCUUCAUUGAUGUCCUGUCGUCACCGAGCGUAUGUCUGAUGGACCAUCGGACUUGUACCAGGCUCUGGGGGUUCAAGGGACAAGCAGCUCCUGGCUUCAGGGAGCCCCAGUGUGGAAAUUAGAGGAGGAGGGAGCUGUUGGUGUCACUUAUCGAGAGUCUGGAUGACCUGCUUCGGUGAUUGGACUCCGUGCUGUUGGCUAUGAGCCUGACGUCCCAGACCCAGAGGCUGGCUGGGAAGAGGGAGCUGAGUCUGAUGGAGCCCACGGCCAUGGUCAUCAGCGUGGGCAAAGCAGGUCACCGUGAGCCCUUCCUGCGUUCUGUGAGCCGCUGCAGCAGAUUCAGGAGGAGGUCACUGGAAUAGCCAGUCUGCAGCUGGUCGGUCAGAAGCCCGAGUCCCAGCCGGGGACUUCCGAAGAGUGUCUGAAUUCGGGGGCAGGAGGGCGUCUUACAGGACUGAGUCCUUAACCUGUGGGAUCGGAUGCUGUGUCCAAGGUAGACAGUGUCAAAACUGAGUUGAAUUCUCCGACACCCUGCUGGUAUCCCAAAGACUGCUUAGCCUUGAACAUGUGGGAAUCUCUCUCUCUCUACCCCAUGCAGGAACUGGGUCCAGGAACCCUAAAAGAGCUGGUGCCGGAAGAUGAGAAGACCGCACGGGGCUGAGCUAAUAUGCUUGAGGGUUCAAUGAAAAUUCAGACCCUCUAGGUGAACAGGAAGGACCAGCUUCCGCAACGUCAGAGGCUGGGAGAGAGAGGGAGCCUCACGUACACACAGGGCCCACCGACGGAGCCACGCAGGCGCUCAUGUUUCUGUGUGUGACCGGGGACUGGGGUCUUCGUCAUGUCGUUUACCUUGAAUCUUGGUGUCGUUCGUUAAGGUGACGGUUCCCAGGUUUGAUUCCCCCAGCUUUGUGUCUAGUAAGCAAAUUACUGUCCAUUGGAAGUCUGACGUUACAACCAAAUUUAAUACCUAACUUUACCAAGACUGACCACAGAACUUACAUUUCUGAAAAAAAAGCUUAUUUAGCAUGCUUUCUCAGAAUGUGGUCUGGAGACCCUCUGAGGGGUCUGUACAGUCGCCGUUAUCUUCACUGAAUGUAUGUGCUACCUCCUCAUGGAUGGUUCAGUGCACCUGCGGGCAGCGUCGCCGACAACUAAUGCAAUGCGUGUUGCUCUACUAAUAUUUCUUUAAUCUCCAAUACAAUAAAUGUUGACAGAUAAAACCCAUAAAAACAAUGUUUUUUGUGGUUCUCAGUUUUAAGAGUGUAAAGAAGGGUGCCUGGGUGGCUCAGUCAGUUGAGCAUCUGCCUCCUGGGAUCGGGCCCCAGUGGGGCUCCCUGCUCAGUGGGGAGUCUCCUUCUCCCUCUUCCCCUUACUUGUUCCCUCCCAAAUAAAUAAAUAAAAUCUUAAAAAACUUAAAGAAGUGUAUAAAGAAGUCCUGGGGUACAUGGCUGGCUCAGUUGGUAGUAUGUGCAAUUCCUGACCUCAGGGUUUUGAGUUCAGGCCCCACACUGGGCAUGCAGACUACUUAAAAAAAAAAAAAA